rnacentral:rRNA from 1 species
CCUACGGGAGGCAGCAGUGGGGAAUUUUGGGCAAUGGGCGCAAGCCUGAUCCAGCCAUUCCGCGUGCAGGAUGAAGGCCUUCGGGUUGUAAACUGCUUUUGUACGGAACGAAACGGCGCCCUCUAAUACAGGGUGCUAAUGACGGUACCGUAAGAAUAAGCACCGGCUAACUACGUGCCAGCAGCCGCGGUAAUACGUAGGGUGCAAGCGUUAAUCGGAAUUACUGGGCGUAAAGCGUGCGCAGGCGGUGAUGUAAGACAGAUGUGAAAUCCCCGGGCUCAACCUGGGAACUGCAUUUGUGACUGCAUCGCUGGAGUACGGCAGAGGGGGAUGGAAUUCCGCGUGUAGCAGUGAAAUGCGUAGAUAUGCGGAGGAACACCGAUGGCGAAGGCAAUCCCCUGGGCCUGUACUGACGCUCAUGCACGAAAGCGUGGGGAGCAAACAGGAUUAGAUACCCUGGUAGUCCACGCCCUAAACGAUGUCAACUGGUUNUUGGGUCUUCACUGACUCAGUACGAAGCUAACGCGUGAAGUUGACCGCCUGGGGAGUACGGCCCGNGAGUGAACGUCGAAGGAUUGACGNGNGAGAGNGCGAGGACGACGACGAGGGAGGAGG